GAUGAACGCUGGCGGCGUGCCUAAUACAUGCAAGUCGAGCGAACGGACGAGAAGCUUGCUUCUCUGAUGUUAGCGGCGGACGGGUGAGUAACACGUGGAUAACCUACCUAUAAGACUGGGAUAACUUCGGGAAACCGUAGCUAAUACCGGAUAAUAUUUUGAACCGCAUGGUUCAAAAGUGAAAGACGGUCUUGCUGUCACUUUUAGAUGGAUCCGCGCUGCAUUAGCUAGUUGGUAAGGUAACGGCUUACCAAGGCAACGAUGCAUAGCCGACCUGAGAGGGUGAUCGGCCACACUGGAACUGAGACACGGUCCAGACUCCUACGGGAGGCAGCAGUAGGGAAUCUUCCGCAAUGGGCGAAAGCCUGACGGAGCAACGCCGCGUGAGUGAUGAAGGUCUUCGGAUCGUAAAACUCUGUUAUUAGGGAAGAACAUAUGUGUAAGUAACUGUGCACAUCUUGACGGUACCUAAUCAGAAAGCCACGGCUAACUACGUG
rnacentral:rRNA from 1 species